rnacentral:misc_RNA from 1 species
AACGCACAUUGCGCUUUUGGGAUAUUCCCAAGAGCAUGCUUAUCUGAGUGUUCCUGAACCCCACUCAGCCACUGCUGCAUGUGAAAGCGCUUGCGGUGAGCUGGUCUGUGAUAGUGCGUGGCCUUCCGGGCCGAGCUCUGUUGAAAUUAAUCAGUUUGUUGCCAUGCCUGAGCGGCCUCGGCCGUGGGUCUGAAGCGAACGCGACAAAAGAUUUGGUAGAUGCACUGACGUGUGUUUCUCAUCUAGCGUUGCGAGCGCGGAAGCCAAGCGAGCAUGUCAGUGAGGUGGGCCUGCCGACGCGUAGCUUGUCUCCGCCGGAGGGUGCCCGAAAUGAAUGUAACUCAUUUAUGAAUCUCAGAUUAAGUAAGACCACCCGCUGAAUUUUA